GCGUUUGCAGCGCUAGUUCAACCCACACCACAUGAAUGGCCACAGCACAUAGUGCCACUGUAAAGCUACACUAGUGGCGAUGGAGGAUUAAAAGGUUGAGCUCAGACCACAAACACUACUUUCUGUUCACCUCCUGCCCCUGCAAUAGGGCCUUCUCCUGAUCUGAGCUAAUCCAACAGGCUAAUCUUGCCACUAGCUUGAGAGCCACAGGAAUCAUUCUACUCUCCCUCAAUGGGAGGAAUAGUCCCAGUGUUCUAACCCAGCUGCAGUCCCAAGACGGGAUACAUGUGAUAGGACCAUGUGCACCACUACGAUGGUCCUCACCACUAUUGCUGUCAUCCUAUACAGAAAGUUCUCAAACCGAGUCGAACCGUACAAUGUUGAUGAUGCCAAUGAGGUGCCCUACAUGAAGAGCAAUGGAGUCGACCCUAAGAAAUAACAACGCUCACAGCAGAUGUAGCUCUAGUCUACAGUCUACAUGACACGAACUGAAGACAGGUCUUCACCUUGAUGGCUACACAUCUGACAACAGCAGCAGCUCCAUCUCAGUCAUCUGGAAUUGAUGCAGCUGGCGCCAUUGUCUCUCCAGUGUUCAGAGACUGUGCAUUGCCAUGUGAAAAGCAUCUGGAAUUUAUCACAUCUUCAAUCCCCCAUCUGUCCUGCAGAUCCCUCUAAUGUUAGAGGAGUCCCAGGAAGCCUCCCUCCUCCUUCUUGAGGCAGGAGAAUUCAAUUUCUGGGAAUGAAACCUCAACCAAUAACAUCUUGGUGGAGCUGAAUCUACAGUCCAACAUCUUGGUUUAUUGUGGGUUUCUUGUUUUGUACAGUUGGACGUUUUCUUAAGGCUUAAAGUAGGCCAAUGGUCAAUGUAAAACUGUUGGAAAGUGUUCCGUGCCUCAACAAACAGUUGUUUUUUUUAUUGUCAUUUUUUGUCUGAGCAAAUAGGGCUGUACAGAUUUGUGUCCAUUGAGUAAAUUAUAAUGGCUUUUAAAGAAGAGGCAGAACUUUAAAAUGAUGCACUUUAAAUGGUAGGAUGUUUUUGGUAAUCUUUCACAUUCCUAAAGUGACCUAAAUCUUGUUUUGACUGAAACAAGGAGCUUUGGAUAAGCAAUAUAUUUCAAAUGAAUCGCUUGAACCCAUAAAUAUUUGACCAAAUGUCAGAGAACAUAAAUGUCUUGUCGUGAAGAUGUGUGUGCCAUGGCUACUCAAUCGAAAGAGCAAUGGAGAGAGGCAUCAGUUUUGUACCUCUCUGUCAAUCCUCUCCAGUCACAAUGCAUUGCUAUGUGAUGAAAGAAAGCAUGCAAUGAAUCACCUCUUCCCCUACACCUUUAGCAUCCCGUUGGUCCCAUUAAAGGAGCAACAGUCAGAAAGAGGUGUGUUACUAGUCUGCCUGUGUUCAAAACACAGCUCCAACUUUACUUUACAUUUUUUAAAGCAGCUAGGUGUCACCUUAGUAAACGUCUGUGUUGAGUCAGAGCUUGGUGAUGAUGGUGGUUACUGGUAGGACGGUUUGUUACAGAAUCGACUUUCCUUUGACAUGUCAUCUUACAACCUGCUUCUUCUCUCUAAAGCAAAAAUGAUGUAUGUUCUUUGCUCUCCCCACCUGAUCAAAUAAAGAGAUUGGAAAAAUUUA